CCUACGGGCGGCAGCAGUGAGGAAUAUUGGUCAAUGGGCGCGAGCCUGAACCAGCCAAGUAGCGUGAAGGAUGACUGCCCUACGGGUUGUAAACUUCUUUUAUAAAGGAAUAAAGUGAGGCACGUGUGCCUUUUUGUAUGUACUUUAUGAAUAAGGAUCGGCUAACUCCGUGCCAGCGGCCGCGGUAAUACGGAGGAUCCGAGCGUUAUCCGGAUGUAUUGGGUUUAAAGGGAGCAUAGAUGGGUUGUUAAGUCAGUUGUGAAAGUUUGCGGCUCAACGGUAAAAUUGCAAUUGAUACUGGCAGCGGUGAGUACAGGUGAGGUAGGCGGAAUUCGUGGUGGAGCGGUGAAAUGAUUAG
rnacentral:rRNA from 1 species